UGCCUGAGCAGAGGGCCCAGGUGAGCAGCUGAAUGUCAUAGAAUCACAGAGUGGCCUGGGUUGAAAAGGACCACAAUUUCUUUGGGAUGGAUUGGUAAGAGCGAAGCAUUGAAGCUUGUGUGCGGUGUGAGCCAGGCGUGUGGUACUGAACCUGGAAAUAGAGCUUUGCAGUGGCAGUUAGCUGUGGACGUGUCCUAACCUACCUCAGGAACAAAGCCCACCCUUGCUGCUUCAUGCAUUGGAGGAUAAAGGCUAUUUCCUACUGAGAAAACCAGUGUUUGUGGCAGCCUCAUCAAGCAGUCGUACCUCUGGUGCUCAGUUCAUGUUCUUAGAUAAGCUACCUUGUUCCUCCUUUCUCCUCCCCAACUUUGAAUACAUUUCUCUUUUGUUCCUCUAAAUAGCUGCUGCCUUCUCAAAGGAGCCCGCGUCUGUAGCGCGCAGAACACAACCAGUGUAUUUGCAUUCUGUUUGCAAAGCAUGAUACAGGUACUUGCAGCCAAAAUGUAAAGACACCCACGUGCCCUGGCUGAUGUUGUGCAGGAACAUCGUCAAGAGUUGGAUGUGAAAAGAGUCGUGGCAGAUUCCCUGAGCCCUUGGCACGACGCUUAUUGCACCAAAGGCAGGAGGCAGCCCCUCCUGCUGCCACACCAAGGAUGCCAGCAAAGAACAAGUGCUAAGGUGGCAAGAAGGCAUCGCUCCUUGGGCACAGGCAUCCCUGCGCUCUUACACUGAGUCCCAUGCAGAAGGUGCUGUGCUGGGCCACCACAGGACGAUGCAGGGCUGCCCAUGAAAUCACCUGCAGCAAAGUGUGACUGCUCCAGGCUUUGAAAGCAACUCUCCCUUUUGCAAUUAACUGCAGGAUGCAAUUAGUUGAUUUCUUCCCCCAUGGAAGGAGCUAAAGAGAUGCAAUGACCCAACAUCUCAAGGUAGUGCAAAAGAUGUUUGGGCCAACUCAAAGAAUCCUCAUUGGAGGGGGAUGGGGAGGCUCUGCCACCUUUGGGUGCUGCUCCCUGCUCUCUGCCUUGUCCCCAUGCACUGAGCACUGCUCAGCACAGCCAUCGUUAAGCGCCGGUUUUAUUGCACAGUGCUGCUGUCUGCCAGCAAAGACCUGAUGCGUCGUUCUAUCAGUGCAUGCUUAUUAAAUUUACAAUUCAUAAUCAAAAUCUUACGACAUUGUUUUGCAGAAAAAGGCCUUUGUGAGGGCUUGCUUCUUUUAAUACCAACAUAAAGGCUUCAAAUGGU